CUUAUUCUUUCUCCAAGGGGCAUUGCUGAAAUUUCUUCAUCCCGCUCUACCAAGUGUUGUCUCUGGUGCUACUGAAGGGCCAUCAACAUCGUCUUCGUCACAUGUUUAUGAGGAGGAGCAAGUGGAAGACAACAUUGCGGCGUCCACACCACUUCCCAGCAGUGGUUCAACAGAAGCAGUGCCAUCAACUCCAUCACGACUUGAGGAGGAGCAAGUGGAAGCAUCCACACCACUUCCCAGCAGUGGUUCAACAGAAGUGCCAUCAACUCCAUCUCCACUUCAUGAGGAGGACAAAGAGGAAGAUGACAUUGACAUGGCAGAGACCACCCCACCAUCCAGAACUGGGGUACCUGUAGGUAUUGCAAGCACCACAUUAAGUGAUGACCCAGGAUGUUGGCCCAGUGUCCUAACAAGCAGUAUGCGCUGUGAAAUAGUCAAAAAAGGACCUGUGCAAAUCAUGGACAUUGAAUUCCCGCAAAACUUAGACAAUCCUCCUCGAAGAUUCACCAAGGACAGUUACAAAAGAACCAUGAAAAAUGGUGAGAAUAUACAUCGAUCGUGGCUGGUGUAUUCCAUCCACACAGAUGGAGUGUUCUGUUUCCCUUGUACUGUUUUCGGGAAGCGUGAGCGUGACAAUGCCUUAACGACCUGUGGC